AUGCUCACUUCAGCAGCACAUAUACUAAAAUUGGAAUGAAACAGAGAACAUUAGUACGACCCCUGCACAAGGAUGACACACAAAAUCCUUAAAAAACAACAAAAAGAA